rnacentral:misc_RNA from 1 species
UACGAGAGCCUCAAGCGUUACCCGGAAUAAUUGGGCGUAAAGGGUCCGUAGGCGGAAAGGUGCGUCUACUGUUAAAUCUGAAGGCUCAACCUUCAGCUAGCGGUGGAUACGGCUUUUCUAGAGGCAGGGAGAGGUUAGCGGAACUCCUGGUGGAGCAGUGAAAUGCGUUGAUAUCAGGGGGAACACCAAUUGCGAAGGCAGCUAACUGGUCCUGUCCUGACGCUCAGGGACGAAAGCGUGGGGAGCGAAUGGG